GGGUUGUGAGGUUAAGCGACUAAGCGUACACGGUGGAUGCCCUGGCAGUCAGAGGCGAUGAAGGACGUGCUAAUCUGCGAUAAGCGUCGGUGAGGUGAUAUGAACCGUUAUAACCGGCGAUUUCCGAAUGGGGAAACCCAGUGUGUUUCGACACACUAUCAUUAACUGAA
rnacentral:rRNA from 1 species